UGCUGGGAUUACAGGGGUGAACCACUUCAUCCGUCCUGUUAUUUCCCUUUAAUAAAGUCAAAUGAGUUGACCUUGGGCCAGUUAAAUUCCUCUGACUUGCAUUUUUAGAAAUGAAUGUAAUAGUCAUUUUAAUUCCCUAAAAAUGAUUUAAAGAUUAGGGACUGUGAACAUUAUUGAACGCUUUCAAGAAGGAACUUAUAAAAUAUUAAUGUUUUGUCUCUUUAGGGUGUCCUUCUGUGCUGAACAUGUCCGUAGGAAUGCCCUGGCACUUCACGCUCAAAUGAAGAAGACCAACCCAGGGCCUGUGGGUGAAACACUCCUGUGCCAGCUGAGCUCAUAUGCUAAGACAGAGCUGGGGUCUCAGACUCCAGAAAGUAGUCGCAGUGAAGCCAGCCGAAUACUAGACACGCUGGUGUCUACACGGCAGAAGAAGUGGCCCUGAUUAUGCGUGAAAAGCUAAUUCGUUUGCAGUCGUUGUAUAUUGAUCAGUUUAAACGACUUCAGCAUCU
rnacentral:sRNA from 1 species